CAAACCCCGCGUGACUGGCGAUAGAUAGGAUUUUCGGAUCCAAGGUGGAGCGACCCACCAGGAAGCGCGGAGCGUCGUUUUCGUUUUGCCGUUCGCCUGGGCAGCUAAA
rnacentral:ncRNA from 2 species